CCCGGGGUGGCUCAGUAGUUGAGCGCCUGCCUUCAGCUCAGGGCAUGACCCCGGGGUCCCGGGAUAGAGUCCCGCACCGGGA
rnacentral:tRNA from 1 species